CCAGGAGCUCUGGUCGCCGCCGAUUCGUCGCCUCCCGGUCCUCGCCGACCCUGCCGUCAGCCUCAGAAGAACCGUCGUGAGCCCCUCUUCCCAUUCCCCCUCUUCCCGAUGCCAUUCCCCUCCUCUAACCCCGUUAGACGCCGGAGCCCAAAGGUCCUCGUCGCCGGCCAUGUCGUUGUCGUCGUUGUGGUACCCCGUUCGCGAGACCGAGCUAAGUAAUGAGCUCCUGGAGCUCUGUAGAUGCCGUAGAGCCCCUCUCCCAUCUUGCUAGUGUCCCGCAACGCCACUCCCGACGAUGCCCGAUCCGCAGCCGCCGCUGACCUCGUCGCCGGCGUGGAUUCCGGGGACCACCUGGUCCAGCUCCUUCCCCUCUGGAUGCGAUGCUUCGCUAGCUAGCCGUAGAACUAAACCACGCCCAAAACCGAUGCCUGUAACGCGAGUUUGAUCAACUCCGGCGAGAACUCGCCACUGUUUUGGUCGUCGCCGGCGAAAUUCCGGUGAGGUUCGACGUCGUCAGCCUAAUUAACCCACUAACACCCCCCAGCCGCUGACAGUGGGCCCAGGGUGGGUCAAACCCCAGUUAGGGGCUGGUCAACUCAGGGAUUAGCCCCUGGUCACUGACCAGUGGACCCCACAGGUCAGGUUUGACCUGGCCCAGCCCCUGUUGACCAGAGAUAUCACUGUGACGC
rnacentral:lncRNA from 1 species